rnacentral:misc_RNA from 1 species
GCCUACCGUCUAAGCCUGGCAGUGGACGAGGUUGCCACAAACAUCGUAAACUACGGAUACGGCGAAUCGGGAUCAAUAGGCGACAUCGAGGUGCAAGCGAACGUUACUGACGGCGCGCUCGAGAUCGUGCUGGAGGAUCAAUCGCCGCCCUUCGACCCGCUGUCCGAACAAGAACCCCAUAACCUGGACUCACCUUUGGAAGAUCGGGAAAUCGGCGGACUUGGACUCUUUCUUGCCGUCAACAAUGUGGACAAUUUCCGUUAUGAGUUCGUGGAUGGGCGCAAUCGCAACAUUUUUAUCAUGCACCUCAGCUCGCCGUAGGAGGCAUCCGUAUGGCCAAAAUUAUCUCCGU